rnacentral:rRNA from 1 species
UACAGAGGUCUCAAGCGUUGUUCGGAUUCAUUGGGCGUAAAGGGUGCGUAGGUGGCGCCGUAAGUCGGGUGUGAAAUUUCGGAGCUUAACUCCGAAACUGCAUUCGAUACUGCCGUGCUUGAGGACUGGAGAGGAGACUGGAAUUUACGGUGUAGCGUGAAAUGCGUAGAGAUCGUAAGGAAGACCAGUGGCGAAGGCGGGUCGCUGGACAGUUCCUGACGCUGAGGCACGAAGGUCAGGGGGAGCAAACGGG